rnacentral:rRNA from 1 species
UACGAAGGGGGCGGGCGUUGUUCGGAUUUACUGGGCGUAAAGGGCGCGCAGGCGGCCGCAUUUGUCAGGCGUGAAAGCCCCGGGCUUAACCUGGGAACUGCGUUUGAUACGGUGUGGCUAGAGUUCGGGAGAGGAGAGUGGAAUUCCCAGUGUAGAGGUGAAAUUCGUAGAUAUUAGGAAGAACACCGGUGGCGAAGGCGGCCCACUGGUCCGGUACUGACGCUGAGGUGCGAAAGCGUGGGGAGCAAACAGG